UACGGAGGAUGCGAGCGUUAUCCGGAUUUACUGGGUGUAAAGGGAGCGUAGGUGGCAUGGUAAGCCAGAAGUGAAAACCCGGGGCUCAACCCCGCGGAUUGCUUUUGGAACUAUCAGGCUGGAGUGCUGGAGGGGUAAGCGGAAUUCCUAGUGUAGCGGUGAAAUGCGUAGAUAUUAGGAGGAACACCGGUGGCGAAGGCGGCUUACUGGACAGAAACUGACACUGAGGCUCGAAAGCGUGGGGAGCAAACAGG
rnacentral:rRNA from 1 species